UCCUCCUCCUCAUCGUCAUCCUGGCUAAGAAUGAAUUCUUCGCCUUCGCCCUCUUCUGUAGCCUGCUCUGGUAAUGCUGACAUGACAGUCAUAACUGGUUGGGACUCUCCUUUUGCUUGGAAGUAAUAGUGUCCCGCCUGGUCAAUGAACAUUCUAUAGAUUGAAAAAGAAACGAUAUAAUACAGUGCAUGGUAGCAUAGAAUGGUAACCCCUUUCGUGCCAUUUGUCCCGGAUCCAGCACAACAUUCCAGUUCAGACGAGAGUAUUGGUUACAACAAUCCGAGUUGUUGGUGUUGGCCAGAAAGAAAAAAUACCAGCUGUGGCCGGCUGCCAUAUUGGGCGAGGCUACGAUUCUCAAGGGGUACAAAGUGUAUUUUUUCAGAAGCAAAGACAUUAUAGAUCUGCCCAGGGAGAACAUCUUGAUGUUCAUCGAGUAUUUACUCGACAAGGAAGUGAGUUUCAGGAGGGCGAAGAGAUGCAAGAGGGGUAUUCUGAAGGAGAUUCACAUGGACGAAACCACGGCCGUUCCAGAUUUUUUGGUGGAGGUUAACAAAAAAACCUUGGCGUUAUUUCAUGUGCCUUUUUUCGACUUAUUUUUGACUACCAAACAGGCCAAUCAAGUUUUGCCCGAGAAAACGUCCGAUUUUUCUUUGUUAUCUGAAUAAGAAAAUAAACAUAAUAUGUAUUGAAAA
rnacentral:misc_RNA from 1 species